UUAAAUUGCGUAGUUGGAUGCGCGCGAGUGGGCGCGCUCCCGGGCGCGCUCGCUGGAUCGCGGCUCCUUAGUUCCCGCCAUCUACCGCCUUUUUCGCUUAAGGUGCUACUGGGUUUCCGCCUGGCUGCUCUUCGGGUGACUCCGUCCUCGCUGGGCUGCCCGGAGCUGCGGCCCGUGUGAACUUCCGCCCCCAACCCCUGCGCGGGCUGAGCCGGGCCGGAACAUGGCCGCGUGGGGGCUGGAUCAUCUCAAAAAUGACUAUAGAAGAAGAUUUUGCCGACCUUCCAGGGCACCUGACAUUAAUACAGAGCAAGGCCAGAAUAUACUGGAAAUCUUACUAGACUGUUUUGAAGAAAAAAGUCUUGCCAGUGAUUUUAGCACAAAUUCCACAAAAUCAGUGCUUUAUUCAACACCUAAAAUAAAAGACAUUUGUGUUCAGUCACCAAGUAAAGAGACUCAGUGCCAGAAAUCACAUCCAAAGUCAGGUACAGUUUCUUCAAGGAAGAAAGAAGCCCCUCUGCAGUUAAUUGUGGAACCAAGUGAAGCUGUCAACAAAUCAGUUCAGGCCCAUGAGGUUCAUCAGGAAAUUUUGGCAACUGAUGUUCAUUCUAACAAUACAUCUGACUUGAGAAAAAUGUCAAGUAAAAAACUAAAAGAUCAUCACAAUGAAGCUGAUGAGGAAUUUUACUUAUCUAUUGGCUUACCUUCUGAUCAUCUGGAUGCAAAAGCAUCUUCAUUGCAAAAGACUAUUCCAUCUGUUGCCCAAAAGAGAGAGACCUAUACUUCUGAAAAUUCAGUAAAUAUGCUGCCUUCAAGUACAGAGAUUUCUCAUAAAACCAAAAAAAGGUUAAACUUUGAAGAUAAAGAUGAUUUGAAGAAAGUAGAAGUAACGAAUAAAGUAUCAGAAAUAGAGGAUAAAGUUUCAGAAGGACCACAAGAGAGGAAACAGUUAGGAACAUCUCAAAAAAGAAUACAAGAUUCAGAAUGUGAAGAUCAACCACAAGCUAGAAAGAGUUUUUCAACAUUGUUUUUAGAAACUGUAAAAAGAAAAGGUGAAUCCAGUUCUGUUGUUAGGCAUAUAGCAACUGCUCCACCUCAUUUAUCUCCUGCAAAUAAUAUGAAGUUAUUAGAAGAUGAAUUUAUAAUUGAUGAAUCAGAUAAAAGUUUUGCCAAUCAACCAUGGAUUAAUAUACCGAGGAAGACUGGGCCUCUGAAACAAUGCACAGUAUCUCCUGCUGAGAGCACUGUACUCCUUCAAAGGAAGAAGUCAAGAGAAAAACAUGACAGUGUAUCAUCUACAAGUUUGAAAAGUGGCAAACAUCCUGGUAAAGCUCACCCAGUAGAGAAAUCUCAGUCCUCUGAACAAAAAAUACUGGGUGGGAGUUGUGCUUUGACAGAUGAAAUGGAAAAUAAUUGUAAAUCUUCAAAAUAUGAAAUGUAUUCUGAGAAUGCAAAAAAAUCAUCUGGAAACAAAAGGACUAUAAAACAAAAACGGGGAACAAAAUUUAAGGCCAGUGUAGUUGAAGAACAAGUUGACAUGGAACAAUCUAAAGGUAAAAAUAUAAAUAUAUCACAUAUUGCCCAAGACAGGUUCCAAAGAAAUUCAGACCGAAAUAUGGACGAGGGUGAAGAGAUAAGUGUUCACACUUCCAGAAAACAGUUGCUACCUCUGGGAAGCAAGAAAGGUAGCACCAAUGUUCCUCAUGCAGAGAAUCAGAAAAAAGAUAAGGAACACAAAAAGAAGCGUUUUUCAGAUGGGUCCAAGAAGAACAAAAUUGUACCUGAAGAAUUGACUUCAACUGUCACAAGAAGUCGAAGAAUUUCCAGACAUCCAUCUAAUUGGUGGGUGGUAAAAUCAGAGCAGAGUCCUUUUUCUAGCAAUUCUUCAGUAAGAAGUGAAUUGUCAUUGUAUCAUAACAGUAAACAAAAACCUGCUGAAAAAACAAACCAAUCAUCUAAGAACACUGGGAAAAAAACUAUUCCAUUUAAAAGGCAGAAGAGAACUGAUGAAGGCAGCUCAAGAACACAGAAGGUUUUAAAUGCUAAAGAUUCCCGUUGUUCCCAGAAUGAGUCAUUGGAAAGUGGUGAGGCAGACCCAGCUGAGAAGAAAAACCUUAAUCCUUCUAGAGGUACAGGAAGCUCAAAGAAUCAAGAUAGUAUGGCUGCACAAAAUGUUCAUCAAAAGUCUCAGAUCAGUGGAUAUACACGCAAGACACGAGCAGAGUCAAACUUGGAUUCUAGAGAGCCUGGGACUUCAGUUUUGGAAGGAAGUGGACCUUCUAGGCUCAAGAAUUAUUUAACGUCUGGAAUGAAUAAUUCAGAUGUGGAUGAUAAUGAAGUUCAGGAAAGUUUGAAUGAUUCAAGAGUAAAAAGGUCUAACUCAACACCAGAGAACAAGGUGCAUCACAAAUUAGUAUUGCCCUCCAACACACCAAAUGUUCGCAGGACCAUGAGAACACGAUCAAAACCUUUGGAAUAUUGGAGAGGGGAGCGAAUAGAUUAUCAAGGAAGGCCAUCUGGAGGAUUUGUGAUUGGUGGAAUACUGUCCCCAGACAAAGUAUCAUCUAAAAGGAAAGCAAAAGGAAACUUGGGAAGAGUCAAUACAAUAGUUAAUAGGAAAAGGAUCUGUCUUGAUAAUGAUGAAAGAAAGAAUAAAUUCGUGGAAAAUCUGAAUAUACCUCUGGGAGAUCCUUUGCAGCCAACGAGGGUAAAGGACCCAGAAACACGAGAGAUUAUUCUUAUGGAUCUUGUAAGGCCACGAGAUACAUACCAAUUUUGUGUUGAACAUGGUGAGUUGAAAGUAUAUAAAACAUUGGAUACACCAUUUUUUUCUACUGGAAAAUUGAUAUUAGGACCACAUCAAGAAAAGGGAAAGCAGCAUGUAGGCCUAGACACAUUGGCUACUACAAAAAGAAAAAAUUCAUCACUGUCGGAGAAUUCUAGGAAGCCAACUCACUUUGACAAAUAUGAUUUUUUAUGUUAACUUUGGUGACCUUUUAUGUACCUUACACGAAACACCUUAUGUAAUAACAACUGGGGAUUCAUUCUACGUUCCUUCAGGUAAUUAUUACAACAUCAGAAAUCUCCUGAAUGAGGAAAGUGUUCUUCUUUUUACGCAGAUAAAAAGUUGAAAGAUGAAGCAAAGUUUAAAUAUGUGUGUAUAUAUAUAUUUACAUACAUACAUAUAAAACACAUUGUGUAGUGAGAUGUUGUAAUUAUUUGUAAUGUUUUAAAAUAUUCAGUGUUGUGUACUUGUUUCAAUAAACAUUUCAAACUUCCA